GCUCCAAACAGCUUUGGGCUGUCGUCCCCGCUGCUGGCAUCCACUACAUCCCUCCUGCUCCUCCGCCAACUGUGUGAGAGGCCCUGGCGCAGGCUGAUGCCAGUCUGAGAGUGGCCGGUGCCAGUGCAGGAGCAGCGGGCAUGGCCUUACCCACUAACAACGGCUUUGUGUGACUGCCUGAUCCACUGGCAUUCACGCGCUCUCAUCCCAUCAGCAGCAGGGUUGUGCUGGAAUGCUGACCCACACUGAGGGCUACAGAGGGGGGAGAAAGCGCUGCAGGUGAGGGAGUGUUGCGCUUGGUGGAGCGCUCAGUGAAGCACGGAGAAAAGGAGACACAGAGGGCCCAAACCCCACGCUCAAGUGGGCUGCCGUUGUCACUGACGAUAAUGGGCUAAAAGACGUGCUGAUCUGGGACAAGGGUGCUGUUUCAAGGCCCUGGGGCAGAAAUCCCACUAUCCUAACUCCCCACACAGCCCAGGGUGGCCUGGAAAGUGUGGACUGAAUCACUCAGCCAUGUCCCGCCCCCCCUU